rnacentral:rRNA from 1 species
UACGUAGGGGCAAGCGUUGUCCGGAUUUAUUGGGCGUAAAGCGCUCGCAGGCGGUCCCGUGCGUCGUGCGUGAAAGGCCCCGGCUCAACCGGGGGCGGUCGUGCGAUACGGCGGGACUGGAGGCCAGUAGGGGGACGCGGAAUUCCGGGUGUAGUGGUGGAAUGCGUAGAGAGUCCGGAGGAACACCAGCGGCGAAGGCGGCGUCCUGGACUGGACCUGACGCUCAGGAGCGAAAGCGUGGGAGCGAUCCGG